rnacentral:sRNA from 1 species
AUCGGCAUUGCUGGUGAGCGUCCCAAAACUUCGCGGAUGUUCGCAAUGUCUUCGUCGCUUGAGCCUUUUGACCACGGAUGUACUGGCACAAGUGAUAAAGCGACGGACACGAAGGUCGGUGCGGUUUCGCCCCGACCUUUUUUGUU